ACCUCAGGCAAUCCACCUGCCUCGGCCUCCCAAAGUGUUGGCAUUACAGGCUUGCAUAAAGGUCUGCAAGUCCUCACCAGACUCAGGAGCCCAGCUGGCUUCACCCAGUGGAUCCUGCACCGGGCCUGCAGUUGGAGCUGCCAGCCAGUCCUGCACCGUGCACCCACACUCCUCAGCCCUUGGGUGGUCGAUGGGACUGGGCGCCAUGGAGCAGGGGGUGGCGCUCUUCGGGGAGGCUUGGGCGGAACUCCAGCUGGCCCGCAAGCACUGCACACAGCCCCGGUUCCCGCUCGUGCCUCUCCCUCCACACCUCCCUGCAAG
rnacentral:lncRNA from 1 species